CUCAUGAUUACUCCUGCUUCCACCCACCCCCCAAGCUGUCAAUCCUGACUUGCAGCAGCUUCGGUGACUCCCCUCUGUGCCUUGCCAGUCCUCAUUCCUACCCGUCUGCUGUGUACGCGCAGGAGCAGUGACAACAGGGGAAGACUCUCACCUUUCUCCUCUGUUGUCCCGGAUCCUGAUGCUCAUGGCUCUGAACACAUCACUUAACCAUUCUGAGCCACAUCCGGUCCCAGCACAGAAUUUGGAACCUAAGUACAUGUGUCAAAUGGAUGAACUGACCAAUGGGGAGCCAUCCUGACCACGGGGAUGACAAGGUCAACGCCAAGUUCAUGUGCAAGUACCAAAGUAGAGCUAGAUGCUGUCUGCAGUCAAACUUUGUAAACGCCCAGGCUUUCCACAGCUGCAGAUAUAAAGAUGCAAGGAAAAGGAAUCAGCCCACACCGUGAGCGUGCAGAGCCCAGCACAGAGCAGCCUGCACCCAGGGCUGACCAGUGGGGACAUUCAGCACGCUGAAGAACUCUGAGAGAGAGGCUAGCUGCUCAAACCCUCUCAGCGUGCUUGCUUUAAACUCCAAGAUGCUUCUGUGUAGCGUGAAUUCUAAUUGGUCUUAAUAAUAAAAACCUGGAGUCAGAUAUCGGGGUAAGUGCUGAAAGAUUAAAGGCACUAAAAAACCAGCCACUAGAGAGACAGACCCUUUACCUCUACCGAAUCCUCAGACCAAGGUGGGCAAGAUCCUGUCCCCACAAACCCUCAGACUGAAUGCAUGAGCCCCUGUCUCCUCCCGCCUUAUAUUCCUAUCUUUGCCCAGCCAUAUCCCUUCCUGUCUCCACCUUCCUAGUGCUGGGAUUAAAGGUGUGUGACUUCCCAAGUACUGGGAUUAAAGGUGUGAGCCAUCACUGCCUGGCUCUGUUUCUCUUUUAGAUUGGAUCAAUCUUGUGUAGCCUAGGAUGGCCUUGAACUCACAGAGACCCGUCUGCCUCUGUCUCCAGAGUACUGGGAUUAAAGGUGUGCGCCACCACUGCCUGGCCUCUAUGGCUAACUAACGUGGCUAGCUCUGCACUCUGAUCUUCAGGCAAGCUUUAUUUGUUAUAGUAAAAACAAACUCUCACUGCAUUUCUGUGCUCUCUCUUGAAUAUUAACUGCCUUCCUAGGAGUCCCCUGGGGCUUUACCACCAGCCUCCCUGGGCUCUGCUGAGUGAGGCAAGUAGCCUUUCCAUCCUGGCAGCCUAGAUGCCACUCACGCACACGGAGUAGAUGUCUUCAGUGCCAGGGCUGUAGCUGCCAGCCUGGCCUCUGCCUUCUGUGCCAGUACCAGGACCUUGAUGGAGUGUCCAUGAGUUUGAGGAGAGUCUUAUCCGGGGUGGGCUUGUUUUAUCUACAGCAAUGCAUCAGCGGCUGCCUGCCUCCCACCUGCCUCAGGAAGGCCCAUUGGCUCUGGGGAUGUCUGAGCUGCUGCUGCUGAAUCCUCUGUCGGUGCUGAGCCUGUGGCCAGCAUCUCAGGAUGCCAGGGCAUGCUCCUGCUCUGCAGACUAUUUCUGCAUCCUGAGGAAAUGCCACUAUCCAUCUUUUCACUCACAGAGACCCACGAGAGAACGUUCUGUCACAUCUUAGUUCAAGGAAAACUGGCGCUGCUUCUGAACAAGGGGGAAGAUUUAUUUUUUUUAUGGCUUUGGUAAAUCUGGUGUCUUAGUUUCCAAGUUAGCCUUGACUGCUAAAUUCAGUCAAAUCUACAUUCAGGCAUAGCUCUGGUGUAGUAUCCUUAAGCAUGAAAAAAGAGCAAAGACUAUCUAAAAUAGAGCUACAUACAGGCAGAUGUUAGCCCGGCUGUAUACUGCUCUGAGUUGGAAAUGACUAAACUUAUAAAAUUCCAACAACUCAAUAAAACCAAUCAAUCAAUAAGUAAAUAAAAAGAUUUACAUAAAAAAAUAAAAUAAAAUAAAUUCCAACAAAGUGUUUCUAUGGACAUUCUUGGCCUUGUACCCUUGCGCCAUCUUCUUGGACUGUGAGCUUAUCUUUCCCACUAAUCCCCCCCCCAGGGGUCUGGUUGAUGGUUCAGUGAUUAAAAGCGCUUGCUGCUCCCCUAGAGGGCUCAAGUUCAGUCUCCACCGCCCACAUUGGACUUCUUAUGAUGCCCUAUAACUCCAUCGUAGGGGAUCUGAUGUCCUCUUCUGACCUCCUCUGGCACUGGCACAGACUUGGCAUUCAUCUCCACAAACAGACAGACACACACAUAAAUAGACAUACAAAUAAAUCUUAAACCUGGUAUGGUGGCAUACCUCUUUAUUCCCAUCACUUGGGAGGCUGAAGCAUGUGGAUCCCUGUGUAUCUGAAACCAGCCUGGUUUAACCUAGCAAGUUCCCAGGAUAGCUAAAGCUACAUAGAGAGACCCGGUCUCAAAUAAAUAAAUAAAUAAAUAAAUAAAUAAAUAGAGGCUGGAGAGAUGGCUCAGUGGUUAAAAGCACUGACUGCUCUUCCUGAAGUCCUGAGUUCAGUUCCCAGCACUGACAUGGAAACUCAUAACCAUUUAUAACUAUAGUCUCAUGUAAUUCUCAUGGAAUCUGCUGCCCUCUUCUGGUGUGCAGAUGUACAUGUAGAUAAAACAAUAAAACAUCCAUGGACAUAAAUAAAUCCUUUUUUUUAGUGGACUACCCUUGGGCUGGAGAAUUGGCUCAGUGCUUGAGAGCAUUGCCUGCUCUUCCAAAGGUUCCGAGUUCAAUUCCCGGCAACCACAUGGUGGCUCACAACCAUCUGUAAUGAGGUCUGGUGCCCUCUUCUGGCCUGUCAUACACACAGACAGAAUAUUGUAUACAUAAUAAAUAAAAAAAGAAGUGGACUACCCUUCUCACAUGCUCAGCCCCUUCCUGGUGCUGAGGCUGCUGUCUAGGGUGCUGCAAGGACCAUUACUGUGCCUGUUUCUUUGUGUGUUUACAGGAAAGAACUCUGAGCCAGGACUUCCCUCUUCGGUGAGACUGCAAGGCUGGGCAGCCCAUCCUUAGCUUUCUGAGCAAGGCGAUGAGUUCUGCACGACUGGCGAGGAUGUGAGGGCCUGGGGUCCUCACCAUUUCUCCUCACUUUACACUACUUUUGCCUAAGUCUUGUUUAGUAUUUCAUCCCCUAUACUCCGAUCUCCCCGAUGCCUUCAUUUUCAUCGUACUGUGUGCUUCUGUGAACACCCAUUUCUCCACUUUCUCCCCAUUUCUUCUGAACAAAAACAGCAUAAAUAUCUACAUAUAAAUAAAGAAAAAUCCAGUGAGUCUCCAUGGACGAAGAAUACAACGCAGAGAGGGAAGCCUGAAGACCUUGAGGCCCCCAGAAUCAAGAGGAUCACUCACUAUAGGACUAAGCCUGGUGGAGUGAUUUCUUCUACUGCUGCUGUGGUGCUGGGGCUCGAACCCAGAUCCUCUGGUAUGGCCACAGAAUGAGUUACAGGAGAUAAAAUCCAGGAGGCCUGUCUUCCAGGCCUUCAAAAUAACGACCAUUGGGAUUGAACGACUCAUCUAGAUGAAGGCUAUCUGAGGCUUCUGGGCUGGAAGAGCGGCAGUGAGACCGUCUGUGAGACUGCCCAGGACCACGUGUGAUGAGCACCCAGUGUCUUAGGUGAAUCAGGUCAUCCAGCGGAAGAUUUUUAUCUUAAGUUCCUCCCCGGCUUCCGUGUAAGCAGCAGCUAUAUUUAGCUACGUAGAUGGCAACUGCUUCUGCCCGACUGGACAGCCUCCCUGCUUGCAGUUGAAAGCUAAGGCAGCGUGGGCAUUUCAAGAGGGCAAAGAUAUGUUAAUACACUCGGAUGAAUUUGAACAUCCACAGACUUUUAUACGGUCAGGGAAAAAAUUAGGAGAAUAAUCCCAUGUAAAGCUUUUCAUUUCGAUAUUAAAGCAACAUCUCUUGAUGGGUGUUCUACUUUGAA